GCAACGGCGCCGGCACGGGCCCGCGGCUGUCAAACAAGACGGCUUACGAUUUCGGGCGCCGCGACGGAGUCGGACAAUGCAUCGGGGCUGGCGGCCGCGGUAAUCUCGCUCGGGAGAGUACGCGGCAGCGAGAGCAAAGCCCGAGAUAAGCUUGUAGAUGCCUUCGUGGGGGUCUUCUCGGACACCGGUUCAACUCCGGUCGCCUCCACCA
rnacentral:tmRNA from 1 species